rnacentral:misc_RNA from 1 species
GGAAGGAUCAUUAACACGUUCCAUAAAAACCAAUCUAAAACAUGUGCGAACUCGUUGCGGGGUGACCUUCUCCACCGUCAUGUGGGGUUGCUCUGCGUUUAUUUAUUUACCAAUUAAACACAAUCUCUACUCGUUUGACAGUAAAAAACAAAUCAAUACAUUACAUGUAAUGUGUAUGUAUUAAUAACGCUUUUUACAACUUUUAGCAACGGAUAUCUUGGUUCUCGCAACGAUGAAGAACGCAGCGAAAUGCGAUACGUAGUGCGAAUUGCAGAAUUCAGUGAAUCAUCGAAUCUUUGAACGCAAAUUGCGCUCCCGGGCAUCUGCUUGGGAGCAUGCCUCUUUGAGUAUCGGUUCUCAUCCCUGCUACAGCUCGUUUUUUAAUUAGAACGAUGCCUUGUAUGCGAAUCUUAAAUGAGUUGUCACGGCGGCCCCUAGCAGGCUGUUGUGUCACUUGAAAUAUUACUUUUAAUAUUGGGUCUUGAUCAAGACUUUGUAUUAGUGCCUAAUCAUCCUUUCUCAUUGGUUUACAGGCGCAUUUUGUUCGGGUGUGGUGUCUUUGUACACUCGCUUCAAGCAUUUUGUGACUGUAUUACUGGUGGUUUGACGGGUCGAGAUAAAGUGCUAGUGUAGAGUUUUGGACUUGAUUUAAUAACCGAUACGGCUAUCUAAAGGUUGUAUCAACAUUUACAAACCUGCUGAUCUCAAAUGAGGUAAGAGGACCCGCUGAACUUAAGCAUAUUAAUAAGCGGAGGAAAAGAAACUAACAAGGAUUCCCCUAGUAACGGCGAGUGAAGCGGGAAUAGCUCAACUUGAAAAUUGGAAGGCUUUAGGUCUUCCGAAUUGUAGUCUAUAGAACUGAUGGCAGCGUGUGGCCCAGGCCUAAGUCCCUUGGAAGAGGGCGUCAUGGAGGGUGAGAACCCCGUCUGUGGUCUGGAGAUCCGCCGCGUACGUCGUCAGUUUCUACGAGUCGGGUUGUUUGGGAAUGCAGCCCAAAAUGGGUGGUAAAUUCCAUCUAAAGCUAAAUACUUGCGAGAGACCGAUAGCGAACAAGUACCGUGAGGGAAAGAUGAAAAGAACUUUGAAAAGAGAGUUAAAAAGUGCUUGAAAUUGCUAAAAGGGAAGCAAUGGAAACCAGUAGUCGUGCUGUGCUCAUUUCCCUGUCUGGUGGGUGGCAGGCUGGUGGUGCGAGAGUUUUUACGACCUCGAACUGCUGGUCUUUGCUGCUUGCUGGGCAGUCCCUGUGGGUGCGGCCGUGUCAGACCCGCUUUGGAUUUCGCGCAGGAUAUGCGCCUGAUGGAAGGUGGCAGUGAUCUACUUACGUAGUGAGCUGUGUUUACUAUGCCGUCAGGGUCGCGCUGUGCUGCUGGAGCGGUAGUUUCUCACCUCUCGAUAGGUGGGCUCCUGGCAGUGUAAGGUGGUGGUCGCUGUGUGCCGGUCGGUAUGUGGGAAAACAAAGUUUUGCCAUGUCUGGCUGGUGUGCACCGUCUGUCGCUCUGAGCUGUCAGUUCUGACGUAAAUGGUUUUCACUGACCCGUCUUGAAACACGGACCAAGGAGUCUGACAUAUAUGCGAGUAUUUGGGUGCUUGAAACCCUGAUGCGUAAUGAAAGUGAAGGCAGGCAGUGGUCUGCCGAGGUGGGACUCUGGCCACCUUGUGUGCUAAGCCAGAUGCACCAUCGACCGAUCGUUCACUUGUGGAGGAUUUGAGUGAGAGCAUAUCUGUUAGGACCCGAAAGAUGGUGAACUAUGCCUGGACAGGGCGAAGCCAGGGGAAACUCUGGUGGAGGCUCGUAGCGAUACUGACGUGCAAAUCGUUCGUCUGAUCUGGGUAUAGGGGCGAAAGACUAAUCGAACCAUCUAGUAGCUGGUUCCCUC